AUGAAGUCCCCACACUUUAAGCUGUCAUAGCCUCUGCCGGCCCUGAUCCCUUGUCCUUCAAAUACCACCUCCUGCAGGAAGCCUCCUGGUUCUGGUCUGUCAAGAAGACCAUAUCAAGUGGCACCCAAACAGGGACCUGGAGUAUGCCCUUGGCAACCAGACGGAGUGACUGUGGACCUACUGAGGUCGGGAAUGCCUUGGAAUCCAGAAAAUAUUUUUGUUGCUAUGCUUGUUAUGCUUGCUUCCCCCUAACCUCACCCUGCUCAAGCUGAAUUAAU